rnacentral:rRNA from 1 species
UAGAGGGUGAGGCCUGCCCAAUGGUUGUAUCUAAAAGCGGUUGAUAAAAGUCGACCUCGUAAGGACAAUUGAAUGGCCGCGGUAACACUGACCGUGAUAAUGUAGCGUAAUCAAUAGCCAAUUAAUUGUUGGCCAGUAUGAAUGGCGCCACGAAGGCCCCACUGUCUUAAGGAAAUUCCCAGUGAAAUUGAAUUCGUAGUGAAGAUGCUACGUCCAAUUUGUUAGACGAAAAGACCCCGUUGAGCUUUACUGGGGCACUUACACGGCCCCGGCCUUCCAAACUAGGCUUACUAUGCCUAGAGGUCGGCCGAAUUUAAAUGGGUGGUUUAGAUUAUGUGGCAGCCCCCCGUCGGGGCAGAUGAAACCCCACUCCCCCAUGUCAAAGGGGCUAACCCCCCCCCUUGGGGGGGGACAGUGUAAGUAGGACAGUUUGGUUGGGGCGACCGCCUUUUAAAGAGUAACGAAGGUGCGCUUAAGGUGCGCAAAUAAUGACUGAAGCCUGACUGCGAGGGGGACACCCCGAGCAGACACCCCCAAGCCUGCCCUAAGGGCGGCGGUGGGGUGGGCCAUAGUGACCCGUUAAUUUAGAGUGGAAUAGUUAACGAUCAACGAAUAAAAGUUACCACGGGGAUAACAGCGUAAUAUCGUUAGAGAGUUCACAUCGACGACGAUGUUUGCGACCUCGAUGUUGAAUUGCGGCAUCCUGGGGUGCAGCCGCUC